rnacentral:lncRNA from 1 species
AGAAGGUGUGUCCACUAUUUUCCCAGUGGUGUAUGAAAGGCAGGCCAGCUCCUGAACCCCAACGUUGUUCCUCAAGUUUUUUUUGCCUGGUCUGUAUCAAAAGACAGAAUCUUGAUGACUAAGACAUUUUCUUUGGUACUACAAGAAGAAUCCAGCUCUCUACUUCUAUCAGCUCCUGGAUGACUACAAGAAAGGGAACCUCCACAUCAUUCCAGACACUCCUCUGGCUGAGGAAAGAUCAGGAGAUGACAGUGAUGUGUUGAUAGACCCAGGAGAUGAACAUAUGCCUGAGAAGAAGAACUAGUGUGGAACUGUCAGCCAGGUUUUUGAUGAGUGCUCAGACUGCUUCCUGAUCCAGCACCACAUUUACUAUAGUGGACAGAUGCUCUAGUCUCUGAUGAGGAGUUGCUAGCUGUUAGGAAGAACCUGGAAUGGGCUCCACUGCAUGAGGUUUGAAGUCUCCAGAGCAGCAAAGAGAGUGGGGAGUAGAACUCAUCAUCUUUAGGUCACUCAGCAUCGAUGGGUUGUUUGCAACCUUAGUAUACAGACAUGGAUGGUUGAACACAAACCUGUCAGGCUGAUAAAGAACUAGACAUCUACUAACGUCCUUGGAACCAUGUUCAGAUUGCUGCACAUCCUCCUGAAGAUGCCACAGAUGACAUGGUUCCUUGUGAUUGUUGUUCUCUUCUUGUUGUUGCUGUUUUCUUUUAACUUUUGAAGAGGAUACUUUAUUAGUCUGUUGCUAUGUUAGUCAUCUCCUGGCAUUAGAAACCAACAUCCCACUGUUUAAAUGUUUUACAUUUCCUACUCUUUUUGGAAAACACAACGUAUGCGCAUCAUUUUUUCCUAUUGUUUCAAAGACAUACCACUAUGUAAUUCAACUUUACAAUUGUAAACAUUUUGACCAAUAUUCACAUGAAUAUAAAUUUUAUGUGUAAAAUUC